rnacentral:misc_RNA from 1 species
CCGAGUUUACAACUCCCAAACCCCUGUGAGCAUACCAAUUGUUGCCUCGGCGGAUCAGCCCGCUCCCGGUAAAACGGGACGGCCCGCCAGAGGACCCCUAAACUCUGUUUCUAUAUGUAACUUCUGAGUAAAACCAUAAAUAAAUCA